rnacentral:tRNA from 1 species
GCCGGCGUAGCUCAGGUGGUAGAGCAGCUGAUUCGUAAUCAGCAGGUCAGCGGUUCGACUCCGCUCGUCGGCUCCA